rnacentral:rRNA from 1 species
GAUGAACGCUGGCGGCGUGCUUAACACAUGCAAGUCGAACGGUGAACACGGAGCUUGCUCUGUGGGGUCAGUGGCGAACGGGUGAGUAACACGUGAGCAACCUGCCCCUGACUCUGGGAUAAGCGCUGGAAACGGCGUCUAAUACUGGAUAUGUGACGUGACCGCAUGGUCUGCGUUUGGAAAGAUUUUUCGGUUGGGGAUGGGCUCGCGGCCUAUCAGCUUGUUGGUGAGGUAAUGGCUCACCAAGGCGUCGACGGGUAGCCGGCCUGAGAGGGUGACCGGCCACACUGGGACUGAGACACGGCCCAGACUCCUACGGGAGGCAGCAGUGGGGAAUAUUGCACAAUGGGCGCAAGCCUGAUGCAGCAACGCCGCGUGAGGGAUGACGGCCUUCGGGUUGUAAACCUCUUUUAGCAGGGAAGAAGCGAAAGUGACGGUACCUGCAGAAAAAGCGCCGGCUAACUACGUG